rnacentral:rRNA from 1 species
GCUAGCGGCAGGCCUAACACAUGCAAGUCGAGGGGUAACAGGAAAGCUUGCUUUCGCUGACGACCGGCGCACGGGUGCGUAACGCGUAUGCAACUUGCCCUCAACUGGGAAAUAGCCCGGAGAAAUUCGGAUUAAUGCCCCAUAGUAUCAUAUCACUGCAUGGUGAUGUGUUUAAAGCUUCGGCGGUUGAGGAUGGGCAUGCGUCCUAUUAGCUUGUUGGUGAGGUAACGGCUCACCAAGGCUGCGAUAGGUAGGGGGCCUGAGAGGGUAAUCCCCCACACUGGUACUGAGACACGGACCAGACUCCUACGGGAGGCAGCAGUGAGGAAUAUUGGUCAAUGGACGAAAGUCUGAACCAGCCAUGCCGCGUGCAGGAUGACGGCCCUAUGGGUUGUAAACUGCUUUUAUAAGGGAAUAAACCCCCCGACGUGUCGGGGGCUGAAGGUACCUUACGAAUAAGGAUCGGCUAACUCCGUGCCAGCAGCCGCGGUAAUACGGAGGAUCCAAGCGUUAUCCGGAUUCAUUGGGUUUAAAGGGUCCGCAGGCGGGUUAUUAAGUCAGUGGUGAAAUCCUGCAGCUUAACUGUAGAACUGCCAUUGAUACUGGUAAUCUUGAGUGUGGUUGAAGUGGGCGGAAUGUGUCAUGUAGCG